GGCCGUGGACGACCGCGGCUCGCAUCUCCCACGGCGGGACGGCCCGC
rnacentral:ncRNA from 1 species